GAUGAACGCUGGCGGCGUGCCUAAUACAUGCAAGUCGAGCGAACAGACGAGGAGCUUGCUCCUUUGACGUUAGCGGCGGACGGGUGAGUAACACGUGGAUAACCUACCUAUAAGACUGGGAUAACUUCGGGAAACCGGAGCUAAUACCGGAUAACAUGUUGAACCGCAUGGUUCAACAGUGAAAGACGGUCUUGCUGUCACUUAUAGAUGGAUCCGCGCCGCAUUAGCUAGUUGGUAAGGUAACGGCUUACCAAGGCAACGAUGCGUAGCCGACCUGAGAGGGUGAUCGGCCACACUGGAACUGAGACACGGUCCAGACUACUACGGGAGGCAGCAGUAGGGAAUCUUCCGCAAUGGGCGAAAGCCUGACGGAGCAACGCCGCGUGAGUGAAGAAGGUCUUCGGAUCGUAAAACUCUGUUAUUAGGGAAGAACGAAUGUGUAAGUAACUAUGCACGUCUUGACGGUACCUAAUCAGAAAGCCACGGCUAACUACGUG
rnacentral:rRNA from 1 species